CUUUCCCCGUAGCAGUAUGCAAAUCCCCAUCCUACCGUGAGAAGCUAGGGUUAGGAGACGAGUCAGUCAGACCCUCUCGUUCGGCGCUGGACGGCGAGCGUCGGGCGCCGAGCGACGGGCGGCGGGCGGCUCCGGUGAUUCCUCUCUGGUGAUUGUCCCGCUAAGUGGCAGCCCUGUUUCGAGCGUUCCGUGCUGGGCCGGCGGCCAGCGAGCGGCGCGGCUGUUACCUCUCCGGCGAUUGUCCGGCCAGCCGUGCUCAGUCCCCAACUGGAUUUGGGCCCCUAGAUUGGGCUAGAUUUGCAAAGCAAACAAAGGAGGCGAGUAGCUCGUGACUCAUUGGGUUGUCUCCUCCAAGUUCAGCACAUCUAAAAAGGAAGUAGGAGAGAGGACGAGUAACUAUGGAAUGCCAAAGUGAAGUGAGCAAGGCUCCUUCUUUUGCUAUUUGUGAUGUCCAGUCUGACGCAGAAUCAGCCGUCCACACUAGGCCAAGUCUGGACAUUGGGUUUACUACACCACAGAAAUCCUAUAGUGCACCUUUCUGUGGCUCAUCUUGUACUCCAGAGUGUGAUGAUGCCAUCAGACCAGCCAUUGGGAUGACUUUUGCUGAUUUGAACGCAGCCAAGGAGUUCUAUGAAGCUUAUGCACAUCAUGUUGGUUUUUCAGUACGUGUGGGGCAGCAAAAGAUUGUCAAUGGUGUCAUUACUCACAAGCGUUUCUACUGUGACCGUGAAGGUUUCCGUGAAGAGCGGAAAGGUAAGGAAACUUUGGUAGCUAGCACUGGUAGUAAGAGGAGAUAUGAGAGGAAAAUAACUAGAUGUGGGUGCGAAGCUAAACUUGCAGUCAAACGUACGGUCGAGAAUAAGUACAUUGUGACACUUUUCGAACAGGAGCACACACACACACUUGUAUCACCUAGUAAAAAACAAUUCAUCAGAUCAAACAGGAAAGUUAGCCAACAAGCAAAAACUACAUUAUGGAACUGUCAUAAAGCUAGCAUUGGCACAUCCCUAGCAUAUAGGUUCCUUCGUGUAGACUUGUUUUUUUUUUGAGAAUGUUGGCUGUACAAAGAGAGACUUGCAAAAUCACCACCGAAACCUUAGGUGCCUCAUCAAGUCAUCCGAUGCUCAAAUGUUUGUUGACCAGCUUGCUAGAAAACAUCUUGCAAAUUCAGGAUUUUAUUUUGACUAUGUUCUUGAUGAUAAGGGCAGACUGGUACAUGUGUUCUGGGCGGAUGCCACAUGUAGGAAAAAUUAUGCUCUAUUUGGAGAGCUUGUGUCCUUUGACUCCACGUAUUGCACCAAUCAAUAUAACAUGAUUUUCACCCCCUUUACUGGAAUCAAUCACCAUAAGGCAAGUGUUUGUUUUGGUGCUGCAAUGUUACACGAUGAGAAGGCAGAUUCUUACAAGUGGUUGUUUCGCACAUUCUUGAAAGCUAUGGGAGGGGCUGCACCUAAGUUUAUAAUAACUGACGAAUGUAGUAGCAUGGACAAUGCAAUAAGGGAAGUUUUCCCAGCAGCCGCACAUAGGCUAUGCAUGUGGCAUAUUAUGAAUAAGAUCCCUCAAAAGGUUGGCCCUGAUUUGAAGACGGAUGAGGAUUUCCAUGAACGAUUAGGUCGGUGCGUGUGGUCUUCUGAAACUCCUACUGAAUUUGAGGAACAAUGGAAAGAAAUUAUGUCAGAGUAUGGGUUGGAAGAUGAUGAAUGGUUCAGUAAAAGGUUCAGCCUUCGAGAAUCAUGGAUACCAGCUUAUUUCAAAGAAAUAGCUUUGUCAGGGCUUAUGCGGACUACUUCAAGGUCAGAGAGUGUCAAUUCUUUUUUCUCACGUAUUAUUGGUUACAAACAUGCUUUGGUUGAGUUUUGGCUUAGAUUUGACACAGCUUUGGAAGAACAACGUCACAAGGAGUUGCAAGAGGACCAUGUGAGGAUUCUAUUCCUAUGGCGGAUUCUAUUCAUAUGGCGGAUUCUAUUCCUAUGUGUGGAUUAAACAGAGCUGAGUAAACAUCACCGGUAGGAGAUGCAUGUGCAGAUUAAGUUUAGAGGAGAAAGUGGUUCUUUAUUCAGUUCAAACGCUGACCGGAUCAGGUGCACCUUUAGGCUCUAUGAUAAGUGCCGACAACAAAUUCUUCUUUUCAGCAGGAUUGUAUACUGGACCAAGGUUCUACAGGCGGUGGGUUUGCUAGGACUAUUACAUGUAAACGCAGUUGUCAACACACUGAUGAAUUUGAUAGAGGAAAGUGGUCUAAGUUUCACGAUU